UACGGAGGCAGCAAGCGUUGUUCGGAAUUACUGGGCGUAAAGAGUGUGUAGGCGGUGCUCUAAGUUUGGUGUGAAAUCUCCCGGCUCAACUGGGAGGGUGCGCCGAAAACUGGAAUGCUUGAACAUGGGAGAGGAAAGCGGAAUUCCUGGUGUAGCGGUGAAAUGCGUAGAUAUCAGGAGGAACACCUGCGGUGUAGACGGCUUUCUGGACCAUUGUUGACGCUGAGACACGAAAGCGUGGGUAGCAAACAGG
rnacentral:rRNA from 1 species